UCAUUAUAUAAAGGGUUAGUCAUUAUAUAAAUGGUUAGUCACUACAUCAAGGGUUAGUCACUAUAUAAAUGGUUAGUCAUUAUAUAAAGGGUUAGUCACUAUAUAAAGGGUUAGUCACUAUAUAAAGGGUUAGUCACUAUAAAGGUUUAGUCACUAUAUAAAUGGUUAGUCACUAUAUAAAUGGUUAGUCACUACAUCAAGGGUUAGGGUUAGACACUACAUCAAAGGUUAGGGUUAGACACUACAUCAAAGGUUAGGGUUAGACACUACAUCAAAGGUUAGGGUUAGACACUACAUCAAAGGUUAGGGUUAGACACUACAUCAAAGGUUAGGGUUAGACACUACAUCAAAGGUUAGGGUUAGACACUACAUCAAAGGUUAGGGUUAGACACUACAUCAAAGGUUAGGGUUAGACACUACAUCAAAGGUUAGGGUUAGACACUACAUCAAAGGUUAGGGUUAGACACUACAUCAAAGGUUAGGGUUAGCAUACCUGAGCCACUAAAGGUAGAGCUAGUAG